CCCAAAACUAAACCACCCUUGUAAAACUAACCAGGUUAGGAGGAUGAGAGGGUUCUGAACUCUGCUAAAAUGCAGGCAUGAAUGACUACCAGCUGCCCUUGCUGCCACCAACAUGGAGACUUUGUACCGUGUCCUGUUCUUAGUCCUCGAAUGUCUCAACCUGAAGCUGAAGAAGCUGCCCUGGCUUCGCUUGCCGUUGGCCAUGACUGUGUACACUCUGGUGGCGGUGUCUUACCUCCUCAUCGCUGGAGGAAUCAUUUAUGAUGUUAUUGCUGAACCUCCAAGUAUUGGCUCUAUGACUGACGAACAUGGGCGCCAAAGUCUAUUUUACAAAGUAAAUAGAUAAUAUAUUAUGGAAGGACUUAUAUCCAGCUUCCUGUUUACAAUGGAAGGUUUAGGUUUCAUAAUCCUGGACCAACUGAAUGCACCAAAUAUCCCAGAAUUCAAUAGAUGUCUUCUUCUAUUCAUUGGAUUCAUCUGCGUCCUAUUGAGUUUUUUCAUGGCUAGAGUAUUCAUGAGAAUGAAACUACCGGGCUAUCUGAUGGGUUAGAGUGACUUCGAGAAGAAAUCAGUGGAUACUGGAUUUGCUCCUGUCAAUGAAGUUUUCAAGGCUGUAUCAAUCCUCUAAUAUGAAAUGUGGACAAGAAUGAAAAGCAGCAGUAAAAGAAAUAUCUAGUGAAAAAACAGGAAGUGUAUUGAAGCUUGGACUAGAAUUUCUUCUUGAUAUUAAAGAGACAACUUUAUCGCAGUUUUUUUUUUUUUUUUCCUGCUGACCUAUUGCUAUGCUAAUGAUGUGGAGUGGCAUUUUCUUCGUAGUUUUUCAUUUCUUAAAGAAAAUAUACUCAGUAUCUACAACUACAAUAUCAAAUAAAGUGAUUAUUUUUUACAACCC